AAAAUAAAAGAAAACCAUGAUUUUAAUUUUAAUAAAUUCAUUUUAAUUGUAUUAAAAAGGUUGUUUCUUGGAAUUAAGUGGUUUAAAGUGGGUGAAGUUAAGAAGAGUCAGGAGAGUGAUACAAACAAGAAAACAAACACACACAAAAAUAAUAAUAGUGCUAGUGGGUGAGAGAAAAGAGAGAGAGCUCAUGGGAGAGUGAAGAGAAGCAAAGGAAGGAAAAGUUUAACCUCAAUUUAGGGAGUUCACUACAAUCCAAAUUUUCAGGUAGGAGAUGAAUCAUAGCUGAUGUGUUCGGAUAGUUGUUGCCUUGCUAUUUAUUGGAGUCGCUCUGUUAGGAUGUUGUCGGGGAGAAACUUUAUUUAAUUAUACUGCUAAAUUUUUAUAACAAUUGGACUAUGUCAUUUGAUUCAGUAUUUUCAAUUCGGACUUCGAAACUUAUAUUAUUUUU